UAUCAUUCAUUUAGCUUUUUAUAGGCGGUGUAUGUACAUGUCCAGUAAGAGACAUUGAAUAGCUUUCCCAUGGCAGGUAGUGACAGAUGCGCGUGGGUCUCCCAGUUAGGCCGGCAGAUGUCAGCCCCCGAAGUUACAUGCAGCUAGCUAUCCUAAAACAAACGUUCACUUGGAACAAACUUGCGAUGCUACAGUGGCCACUCGGUUUCUUCGCCGCAUCCUAUCUGUCCCCACUCGGAUGUUUGAUCCAGGAAAUUGUGAAUGUGUAAACUGCAGUGAAUUGGUGCACCAUCCUGCUGGAGGAUCACAUUUGGCUGGAAUGGAAGAAGCUGAGGGACAGCAAAUUUCUCAAGCACAUCCAGAUAAACAGUUCUCAUUACUAUUUCCUUGCUGCAGAAAAAUGGUCCAACUGUACUAUCUUUCAUGAUUGCAUGCCUCAGAUUCAUCUUCUCCUGUCUAUGACACAUUCUCAGAAACUGUAGGGGGACUUUUGGAACCUGAGAUGUGAAUGUUGUAACGAUUUACGGAAAUUUGCUUCGUAGGAGAAAAUCUGCUUCCCAUACAUUUGGGAUGUUGUUUGAACUGGUGCAACAUCUAAACAGCAAAUGUGAAUAGCCAUUUCGCUUUGAUGCUUGCACAAUUUGAAGUCCGUAAGUGUGCAGGUAGAGUUGUUUAUGCAGCCCCUCACGGACUACUGAGUGAGGGGUGUUUAGCUCUCAUGAGGCUCGGUGCACUGACUUUGAUGGGUUUCUUUGGAAGGUCCCUUUCAAACAUUCCACCAGAUGUGCCUUUUCUGCUGGAACCUGAGUUUCUGUUUACUCUCAGUGGUACAAACUAAACAUACCGAGCCUCAGUUAUCUUCACGUCUGGCAGCUUCCUUUGAAAUCCGUGACAAAACUUUCUUUGAACACAAUGUGCGAUUUCAUUUCUGCAUGCCACACCAUGAUCUUGAGGUGCAGUCAUUUCUGGUAAUUAUUCAGCAACUGAAACAAAAUUAAAAGAAUUUUUCAGAGAAAGGUAUAUAAGGUAUAUAAGACAUUUUGAGUUGCUUUUAAUGAUUCUGCAAGUUGUGCAAGUAUCUCUGCCUCAUAGUUCUAUUUAUUUAUUUUUAAAUAGCAGUUGGAAAUCAGUAAAAUAUCAUGUGGACACCCUGUAUAUCAAAUUUUUGCCACUGGAGAAUGUACCAAGAAAUGGAACUGAGGAAGCCUUUGAAACACACAGGGUGUGACAACACUCUUAUUUGGUUGCCUGGUGCAUAUUCUUCCAUGCACAGUAGUGCCGAUAGUUGCCCAUCUCUACCCUGAGUGUCUAAAUUAAAACAGUGUAAAUGCUAUCCUUGAUGCAGCCCUAGGAGAAAGAAUUUAAGUGUGUAACAUCUGGGGCGCGUGGUUGUCACAGCAGGACAGGCUCCUCCCAUCCACAGCCCUAAAGGAAUUGGCACAGUACGGUGGUACAUGGAGGCAUUACUUUCACAGUAAUCGAAUUACACUUUCCUUUUAAGCUGUCAUAGAUUGACAUUGUACUGUAUCUUUUCCUGUCUCAUGCUAAUCUCCUCCUCUCCACCUAAAGGCUGCACCCAAAAUCCUCUGUAGUGUGUUUCACAUUUUCUAGUCUCUGUCUUCACCAACUAUUUUUCCCCCUCUGCUGUUCAUUAUAGCUCUGAGUAAACUAUACUGUAGCAGACAUCCCACAAAUCUGUCUAUAUAGAUUUGUUCCCUCACCUGUUGUUUUUAGCACUUUGUAAUUUUGUACUCCACUUGCCAAUUUAUUUCUUUACCAUUGCUAGAGUCCUCAUUUUGCAUAUUUCCCCUUUUUGCUUCUCCUUAUUACCAGGUGCCCACAUUUUGCUCCCAUACCAUGCUCUGCUUCGUAUGUACACUUUCAUGAACUGGGUCUUCAUUUCAGUACAGGCACACAGUACUGGUAGAGUGCUCUUAUCAGAGAAAGCUGUCUUCACCUGUUCCGAUCUACUCCUGAAGUCUUCCUCACUUGGCCAUCCUGCGUGAUCUCUCUUCCUAAGCGGGACAAUUCUCUCACCUAUUCCAUUGCCAUCAUUCCGGCUCCAGUUGUUAACUGAAAGAGGAUCUGUAUAGUCAAUCUCUCAAGUAUGCAUAGAUCGCCUACAUAAUCAAACAACAAAGGAAAGAUUAUUUUUAUUGUAAUUUGUUCCCCUUCAUUAUUUGAACAAUACAAGAAACUGUUUGUCUUAGACUUUAAUAUUUGGACAUCAGGGAGACCACUGAUUGAUCAAAAAAUGCACAAUAACCUUUGUCUAAACUCAUCUGUACUUGUAUUAGUAUUGAUUUUAAUUUAUGCUUGAAUCUGUUUCAUUGUUACCUGUAGCAAAGGCUUCUUGUCCAAUACAAUAUCCUAUAACACUAAGAUUCUCUUUAACACUACGAAGGAAUUGGUCCUUUCCUUUAUUCAUGUCACAAGUACUGUUUAAAACAGAUAUCGAAUAAAAAGAAUAUUAAAUGUACGUGGAUAAAUUAAUCGAUUGACAGUUAUAAACUAAGAAAUUAAGACAGAAUGAUAUAAAGUGCUACAUAGAAUAUAACUGGACAUAAUCAAAUAAAUAUUUUCACCGAGUACAAUAUUUAUAUGAGUUGUGGCCAGUAUUUCACUACUGUGAUGUGCACCCCCCCCCCCUCCCCCCCCCCCCCCCCAAAUUGUGACUGGGUGGCAAUUCUUCUCCAGUUUUGGUACAUUCUGAAUGACUGGGAUUUUCUGCUUCUGUAGGUCGGCCCUGGAUUUUGUUGACUGUGACAGAAGUGGAGCAGCAGACUGUAAAAAACACUUCCUGGACUUGUAGAUGAAAUAAGCCAACAUGUUCCAGACCUUUUGUGUCUCUGUGUUAGCAGCCACUUCACAUCUGAAAUUGUGCAGGGUGAAUAUUACUUCCAUGUAUACUGUGUGUAUGUUUCUUGCCAUCAGCUAUUAAAAUGCAAUAGCUGCAAAUCUGAUGCAGUGUAUAGGGAUUAAACACCAGGUGUUUUUCCUUUGGAUGUCAAUGAAAAGAUUAAAUAAAAAAUAAGGGGGUAAUGACCACCCUUGUCUUAUUCCUUUUCUAAUUUGAUCGAGGCAGAGUUUACACUAAAAUCUAAUUUUAUAUAUUCUGUGUGACGAGUAAAUGAUUAACAAAUGUUCGAGAGAGCUGAUCUCAAACCAAUUACUAAAAUUUUUAUUGCACAGACUGCAGUAAAAUGCUGUUCCUCCCCUAUUGUUAAUAGAAGGAAAGGGGGAAAAGACCGUAAACACACUGCAGCAAGCACCGCAAUGCCUCAAGGUGGCCAGCCCCAUGUGUGGGCUAACUGAUUUCUGCUGUGGAUCCUCACAUUAGUGUUUGCAGAACACUUGUAAAGAGUACAAAACAUUGGGCCCAAAGUCACCAUAUUUAACACAUUUGUAACUUACUUCCUAACCUUCACAUGAAUGCGACACAUGGAGCGACAGAUCUGCGUCUGUAUGCUGCAAACUCAUUAUACUAGUUAUUAGGUCUUCUUCAAGAAAAAAAGACUGCUUAAACGCCUCCAUGUACACAGUAAGUAGUCUGAUCUCCUCUUCGUGGUACCUGAGGGAGCAAUAGGUUGACAGUUAUACUGCAUUGCUAGAUUCUUUGCUCAGAGCUGGUUUUGUCGAAACUAUGUACGUAGGAUUUCUCGGGACAGUUCGUGUCUAUCUUCGAGAGGGUGCCAGUUCAGUUUCUUUGGCAUCUUUGUGACACUUUCUUGUGAAUCAAACAGAUCUGUGACCAUUUGUGCUGCCCUUUUCUGUAUCGUUAAAUGUCCCACAUCAAUCGUGUUUGGUACAGGUCCCACAGACUUGAGUGACAUCCUAAAAUGGGUCGCAUGAGUGUUUUCUAGAUUGACUUUAUUCCCCCAGUACUCCUAACAAUGAACCAAAAUUUGCUGCCUGCUUCACAUCCAACUGUGCAUAUGUCGUCAUCCCAUUUUGUAUCUCUAUAAAGUGUAACAGCCACAUACUUGUACGAGUUGACUAAUUCCGAUUGUGUCUCGUUAGUGCUGGAGUCGUAUGAUACUAUAUUUCUUUGUUUAACAGCGUGCCCAAUUUUACAUUUCUCAACAUUUAAAGCAAGUCACCAACCUUCACACCGCUUUGAGGUCUUAUCUAGAUCUGACUGCACAUUUUUGCACUGAGACAGCUUUUACUCCAUUGCAUUUUCUCUGGACUGUGUGGCCUUUGUGUUUGCAGGAGCUGCAUCUUCAUAUUAUGUUUGUUCAUUUGUUUCCCAUCACUCUCUGUUCCUUUACACCAAUGUCAAUAAAUAACACACAGGAUAUGAGCUCUUCCCUGAAAACAUACUGACUGUUCACAAACCAGCAGUGGAGUUCUGAUUUAACUUUCAAACUGCACCAAGUUCCUACAUUUUUCGUGAGGCUUUUACCUACUUUAUAUCUCCAAUAAUGCUUGUGUGAAAUAGUGCCAUGUUAUCUGUAACUGUUACUUGUCGAUAUGCUCUUUGCGCUAUUGUAUUUACGGGAGCAUUUUCCGUGCCCACUCUUGUAUUUGAUAUUAGUUUGUAAGAAAAUGUAUUACAUAAAAUUUCUUGGAAUGUAAAGAAGUGAAUGAAAUGAAAUGCGAGAUAUGUAAGCUGUUAUUGUAAAUGUUGUAGUGAUGAGGAGUGGAAACAAAUCAUUGUGAAGAAAUUAAAAUUGUUUCCUCUUGUGCAGAUAAUAUCUGCCUGCUUGUAAUGUUCAGUUAUAAAAUAGUUCAGAGGAGGAUUCAAAGUCUGAUAUGACAUGUUGACUGUUUUUACUUUACUCAGCAACUGCUUAUUUAUCAGCAAAUCUUUUACAUUGAAUGUUUGAUUUUUUUAAAUUCUAUGUGAAUUUUAGGAUUUACAUUGAAGGGGUUGAUGGAAGGUAGAGCUAACCCUCAAUUUAGGAAGGAUUAGUGUGGACAUGUUAUCUAUUGUAUAUACAAAUGCCUCAAACUUGUAACAACUAAAUUACAGAUGAGUGACUAGUAAGAACUGUAUUCUAUAUAAAUUGUUUUGUAUUACUGCAGUUGAAUACUUGUUUUUUUUUUUUUUUAAACUAGCUUGUUUUUUUAUUAUUAUUUUUACUUUGUAUAUAACAUGAAAUAACUGAACAUGUGCUCUUAUGGGUUGGGAAUUCUUCUGCUGAUUACUUCAGUUGCCUGGUAUUUUAUUGUUUAUUAUUUCAUUUUUAACAGAAAGAGCAUAAGUGGUGGUAGAAAAGAAACAUAAAACACUUUUACAUAUAUUGUUUAUGGGUGUUGCUUGUCAGCAAAUGUACUAUAUUGACUUUCUUUAAAAAAAAAAUGUAAACUUAAAUGUUAUAAAUUUUUGGAUUUUUCUUUAGAGUGCAUCAAGAAUGGAAUUGUCAGUUCUAAAAACACAGUGUAAAGUGGAUGAUAAGACUGGUACUGUGAAACCAAAUUCCUGUCAGCAGCACACCACAGCUUUCAGCUGGAAUGUUACUGUAUUAGUUGAGAUUAUUAACUUGUGUUGCAUUUGGGCUUGUGUACCAAUACAGAAAUUGAUAGAGAUUAGUCCAACUGUGAUGAAGUGAUGGUAUGAAAAAAACUCAGGUAACUGGAUGACAAACCAAGUAAUUGUUUGUUUAGUAUCGUAUAUUCUUGUACAGAUUUCUGUGUGGUUAGAAAACUGUAAGUGGAUGUAUGUUGAAAACAUUACUCCCACUGACAGUGAUGAAAGUGAAAACUCAUAGGAAUUUUUUUUCUUUUCUUUACUUUCAUAAUGAAACAAUUGUAAUCACAACAAAUGUAUGCCUAGAACAGCAGUGGCUCCAAGAUGCAGCAGAUAUAUUUCAGAUUUGAUUCUGUUCUUGUCCAAAACAGUGUUAUGUGUAGAUAAAAGAUAGUUAUGAUGUCAAAAUUUGAAAUACAUUAUUGUAUGUUACUGUAUGUAACUUACAUCCCACAAUAUUUAACACUGAAAGUAUAUUUUUGGAAUGUU